CCUACGGGAGGCAGCAGUGGGGAAUAUUGGACAAUGGGGGGAACCCUGAUCCAGCCAUGCCGCGUGUGUGAAGAAGGCCCUCGGGUUGUAAAGCACUUUCAGUGAGGAAGAACGCCUGGUGGUUAAUACCCAUCAGGAAAGACAUCACUCACAGAAGAAGCACCGGCUAACUCCGUGCCAGCAGCCGCGGUAAUACGGAGGGUGCGAGCGUUAAUCGGAAUUACUGGGCGUAAAGCGCGCGUAGGUGGCUUGAUAAGCCGGUUGUGAAAGCCCCGGGCUCAACCUGGGAACGGCAUCCGGAACUGUCAAGCUAGAGUGCAGGAGAGGAAGGUAGAAUUCCCGGUGUAGCGGUGAAAUGCGUAGAGAUAGGGAGGAAUACCAGUGGCGAAGGCGGCCUUCUGGACUGAAACUGACACUGAGGUGCGAAAGCGUGGGUAGCAAACAGGAUUAGAUACCCUUGUAGUC
rnacentral:rRNA from 1 species